CCUACGGGAGGCAGCAGUGGGGAAUAUUGCACAAUGGGGGAAACCCUGAUGCAGCAACGCCGCGUGAGUGAAGAAGUAUUUCGGUAUGUAAAGCUCUAUCAGCAGGGAAGAAGAUGACGGUACCUGAUUAAGAAGCCCCGGCUAACUACGUGCCAGCAGCCGCGGUAAUACGUAGGGGGCAAGCGUUAUCCGGAUUUACUGGGUGUAAAGGGAGCGCAGACGGCAGUGCAAGUCUGGAGUGAAAGCCCGGGGCCCAACCCCGGAACUGCUCUGGAAACUGUGCGGCUAGAGUACUGGAGGGGCAGGCGGAAUUCCUAGUGUAGCGGUGAAAUGCGUAGAUAUUAGGAGGAACACCAGUGGCGAAGGCGGCCUGCUGGACAGUAACUGACGUUGAGGCUCGAAAGCGUGGGGAGCAAACAGGAUUAGAUACCCCAGUAGUC
rnacentral:rRNA from 1 species